AGAGUUUGAUCCUGGCUCAGGAUGAACGCUAGCGGCAGGCCUAAUACAUGCAAGUCGAACGCUCAGUAGCAAUACUGGGAGUGGCGCACGGGUGCGUAACGCGUACACAAUCUACCUCUAAGCGGGGGACACCUCCUGGAAACGGGGAUUAAUACCGCAUAAUAUGCCGAAGUCGCAUGACUUUGGUAUUAAAGCAGCAGUGCACUUAGAGAUGAGUGUGCGUCCCAUUAGGUAGUUGGUGAGGUAACGGCUCACCAAGCCUAUGAUGGGUAGCCGGUCUGAGAGGAUGGUCGGCCACACGGGCACUGAGACACGGGCCCGACUCCUACGGGAGGCAUCAGUAAGGAAUAUUGGUCAAUGGUGGAAACACUGAACCAGCCAUGCCGCGUGGAGGAAUAAGGUCCUACGGAUUGUAAACUCCUUUUGACGAGGAAGAAAAUGUUAGAUUUAUCUAAUUUUGACGGUACUCGUAGAAUAAGCACCGGCUAACUCCGUG
rnacentral:rRNA from 1 species